UGCCCUUAAUGAAACAUGCAAUGUUAGUGAAGGAAACAUGCCCCUAAGGUAAUUAUGACAAUAGGAUCCUGCUUUAAUAGUAUAGAUACUAAACUUUAAUCCUAAACCUAAUAUUCCAACAUCCAAACCUUAAAUCACAAAACUAAACUUUACACUUAUUCAUAAUUAUUUUUAUAAACCAUAGAAUCGAUAUUUAAAACUUUCCAAGUCUAUCUUAUAGGCAAUGGCUACAAACCUUAUAGCAUACUCCAAACCCUAAACUCCAAAACUUAACCUCAAACCACAUACAACAUUUCAAACCCCAUACACUACAAACCUUAAACCAUAAAUUUUAAAUAGAAUAUAUUUCCUCUACAAACCUUAUAUCAUACUUCAAACCCUAAACCUCAAAACUUAUCCUCAAACCACAUACAAUACUUCAAACCCUAUAUACUACAAACUUUAAACCAUAAAUUUAAAAUAAAAUAUAUUUCCUCUACAAACGUUAUAUCAUAUUUCAAAUCCUAAACCCCAAAACUUAACCUCAAACCACAUAUACUAGAAACCUUAAACCAUAAAUUUAAAAUAAAAUAUAUUUCCUCUAACAUAUAUAUACCCCAGACUAUAUACAUACUCCAAAUUCUAAAUUACACAAACCAAUCAAUAGUUUUAUUUAAUUUAAAAUUACUUAUAAAAAGUGAAAUCUAAUCAUUUUGUUGAUUUUAUAUCAUUACUUUUAUAAUGAAAAUGAAUAACUUAAUUUUUAUAUAAACAAAAAUACUCAAAAAUAUAAUUAAAAUUACUAAAAUAACUAUUAAAUAAAAUAACAGUUUUUAUAUUUAUUGAUUAAUUUUGAUCAUAGAUUGACUUUAAUCAAAUGGUCACAAAUGAACCUUGUGGUUAUCCUCACGCUUCUUUCCUAUUGGUCAAUUCUGUUAAGACAAGGAUUGCACUUCUCUCUUUCUUCUCUCACGACGUUUCAUCUCCUCUCUCUCUUUCCUCUCUCACGACAAGGACUAGAUCUGAAGUUGAUUGGAGUUUGAGUCCAAAAGUUGAGAGAAGAAGAAUCAUGGAGAGGACGACCAAGUCUCUGAAACUUGCUUCUGUACGCCUCCUCUCAACUCGUCGACACCACCACCACCGAGGCGCUCGUUACCACCACUGAGGCGCUCAUUACCACCACCACUCCCUUCGAUUCCGACGCACACUUCACCACCACUAAGGUCACCUCUAUCUUCUCUCUCUGUAUUUAGUCUGAUGAGUGAAGCACGAGAUCUGAUCCGUCAAAUGUCAGAAGCUUCUCAAAUGUCACUCUUCACCACCACUAAGCUAAAGAAGAUGGAGGAUGCUGAAGAAGCUUGAUGGUGGUGGUCUCAAGGUCGACAAUGGUGGCUGAGCGUGAUGGUUAGAUGACUUGGUGAUAUCGUGCUGUUGACGAUGGCAGAGAGAGAGAGAGUGACGACGGUGGCGAGGACAGCAGAUGGUGGCGAGGGUGGCGGAGGACAGCAUACGGUGGCUGAAGCUUUGUGAAGGUGGUGAUGGCGGCUGAAGCGUCUAGGUUUAGAUUAAGGUUUAGGUUUAGUUAAUCAAUUGGUUUAGUUAGGUUUACAUUAAUUAACUGAUUAGUUAAGAGUAGAGUAGUAAUAUAUUUAUGUAUUAUUGGUUUAGUUUUGUAAACCAAAAUUUAUUGUAAACUAAAUUUAAUUUAUAAAUAAAAUUUAUUUUAUUUUUAAUUAUAAA